rnacentral:sRNA from 1 species
AUGCACGACGCCGUACGCUCCGGUUCUGGGCGCGCCGUCCGCACGGCUUAGACUACUCGCUACGUCUUGUCAGGC